UACUAGAGUAGCACUCGCAUAUCAAUAAGCGGAGGAAAAGGCGGCGGAGAGUAUUGGUGUGGGCAUACCUACGCUUAGGAUGUUGACACACGCGCGUGCUCGACUUUAUACAUGACUCUGUGCAUAUCAAUAAGCGGAGGAAAAGAAACUAACAAGGAUUCCCCUAGUAACGGCGAGUGAAGCGGGAAGAGCUCAAAUUUGAAAUCUUAAAGGGUUUCCCUUUACGAAUUGUAGUUUAAAGAAGUGUUUUCUGUUGAGGUUUUGGUAAAAGUUCUUUGGAAUAGGACAUCAUAGAGGGUGAGAAUCCCGUAUUUGACCUUUACUUUCAACUUUGUGAUACACUUUCAAAGAGUCGGAUUGUUUGGGAAUGCAGUCCAAAAUGGGUGGUAAAUUUCAUCUAAAGCUAAAUAUUGGCGAGAGACCGAUAGCGAACAAGUACCGUGAGGGAAAGAUGAAAAGAACUUUGAAAAGAGAGUUAAACAGUACGUGAAAUUGUCAAAAGGGAAGCGUUUGACACCAGUGUUGUUUUUCUGAAAAUCAAUUAAAGAACUGUUUAUGCUAAGUUGUUUAGACUUUAUCAGCUAACUGUUUAGUUUUGAGCUUUUCUUUAAUGCACUUUUCAGUUAACAAGUCAACAUCAAUUUCUUUUGCUGUAAAAAAGCUUGAGGAAGGUGGCUUGAGAUUCGUCUUAAGUGUUUAUAGCCUCUUGCCUAUGCAGUCGGAGAGAUUGAGGUCUGCAGCGUAGAUCCUUCGGGGCUAAAUGCAUUUGUGCUAAGUUAUAGCAUUUUAUAGACAACUUGUUGACUAUGAUUUGUCUUGUAGCUUACUCGCUUACGUUAUUUUACCUACGCUUAGGAUGUUGAGUCAUCACACAUCUCU
rnacentral:rRNA from 1 species